UACGUAGGGUGCAAGCGUUAAUCGGAAUUACUGGGCGUAAAGCGUGCGCAGGCGGUGAUGUAAGACAGAUGUGAAAUCCCCGGGCUCAACCUGGGAACUGCAUUUGUGACUGCAUCGCUGGAGUGCGGCAGAGGGGGAUGGAAUUCCGCGUGUAGCAGUGAAAUGCGUAGAUAUGCGGAGGAACACCGAUGGCGAAGGCAAUCCCCUGGGCCCGCACUGACGCUCAUGCACGAAAGCGUGGGGAGCAAACGGG
rnacentral:rRNA from 1 species